UAUUUGCUGUUCUCAAUCAGCUCGCUAAUCUUAACGGGCUAAAAGGCCAAUUGAUUAACUUAGCUUCCCCCCCAAAUUGGGGUGACCUUCAACCUUUCAACAUGGCGGAGAAGAGGAAAGGUUCAGUAAGGGAUGCUGAGAGUACCGUGCAUCAAAAUCAAGCUUUCAAUAGAGACCAGACUCUGUUCUUCAUAGACCUCAUGCGGCAGCAUUUGAUCAAGGAUCAUUAAGAGUUCCAGAAGAAAUGUGAGAUGGACAAAGUCGGUUUGAAGUGGUCAACACUGGAGGUUGCCUAUAAGAAGGCCAAGGAUUACAAUGUCAACAGGGAAAGGACCCAUUGACUUCCCUGUUGUAGGCACUGCAAAGGGAGUAGUUGCUAGGCGCCCAGAGGUCGUAUAUCAAGGGAGCUCUGCAAUCGCAGCCCCCUUUGAAGGCCUCUGCUGAUGAAGAUCCAUCUUCUGCGUCCUCCAGUUUUGCUGCUGAAACCAUCCUCCGACUCAGCUCACCUUUGACCUACCUACCAACCACUGACACCACCCUCAAUCUGAAGAGCAAAAGUAAGGCCCAAGAAGACAAAGCACAAUUAAUGAGUUUUCUCAGUGUGAGAAAGUGACUCAACGGAGGCAUGAUGAAAUCGUGGGGCAGAUAAAAUUAACGCAUGGCCUUUUUGAAAGGCUGAUGCAGUCAUUCCACAACAAUAGAAGAUGUGGUGAGGUUUGUGAAAGGGCCAAGUGUUUCUUAUUGUUAUAAUAAAAUGGUUUAAAUGUUUGUUUUAAAUGUAACCUUAGGAAUAUUUUGUUUUAUUAAAUACGUUGUAUGUACUAAGUUGUAGAACAAAGAGUUCUAACGUUUAUGAAUGAGUUUUUAUUAUAUGUUCAUGACAAAAGAAUACUGUGACUUUAUUAAACACAAAGACUUUGUUGUCAAGACACUUCACUGUUGUUCAGAAGUGUUGUUGUCAUGGGAGACUUUGUUCAGUUACAGGUUUUGCAUUUAAAGUAAAAGAAAACAAAAAAACUAUAUCUCUGACUUUUUUUUUUUUUUUUACCUUUCUGACUUACGACGUUAGCAUUCUUUUUAUUUCAUUUACAAUUUAAAUGUUAGAAUGGAACAUAUGUUUGUACAACAUAUGAUGUUUCUUAAAAGAAAUACAGAAAGCCAAACGCGAGGUACAUACAGCCUCACAUUCAGUACAUUCAGUCCCACUUAAGGUUGUCCACAUAAAACAUAACUACAUGCAUAAUGUGUGUAUCAUUGUCAAAGUAGAAAAAAAGACAUGUUUUAAACCUUACAUUUCAGUAUAAUUUGCUUCUGUCUAGAAAAGGGGGACUACUUAAAAAUUGAGUCAUUCUCAGACACCUCAAUGCACAAGUUGUGAUAUGCACAAGCAACCACGAUUUUCACAACUAUGUCCACCCCAAAGUUUUGUAGUGCGUGUAGCCGUCUCUAUUUACAUUUCAGUCGACCACAUCCCUCAUCAUUCCUCAAGGUACCAUGGGAACCCUGGUGGGGAGGGCUGCCUUUGCGCUCCAGCCCAUCCUUGUGAUGAUGUUGGAUCAGCGUGCACCAUCUCUUAGUUCUACUGCUAUAGGCCUAGGCUGCCAAGGACCUCUUGUAUCAUGCCAUACUUCUCCUUCCUCUGCCAUCUCUGCUGUCUGGCUACUGUAACAUGCUUGUAAUCUGUGUGCUAACUUGUCUCUCUUCUCUCCCUAGGGUUAGUACCGCUGCUCGUGCUGAUGGCUGGAACUCUCUCAUUUGAUGUAUGACUUCACAUCUUUGGCUUCUACCUGAUUCAAGUAAUCCAGGAUAGGCUGUUUUUUUUACGGCAUAGCCUAUUCCUUGAUUACUUGUUUCAGGAAUGGGCUCUGAGCAGCAGCCCACAUUGUGUGUGGAUAGUGGAUAACUGAAAGUCUGAAAAUAUUUGUCUUGACCCUGUCAUUUAUUUAAGUAACCCAGAAGUAGCAUUCAAGGUAGAACAGAGUGGAAAGAGGAAAUUGAAGUCAUAUUCAGAAGCUGCCUUUUUUCAUGAUAUAAACUGUUGAAAUAAUUUCAAUGAUUGUCUAAUUAUUUAAUUUGCAUAAAGGAAAAACAAUUUGAAUUCAUAUUCAUUUGAAUGGGACAAAAAGUGGGUUCAUGAUUUUUAGAGAAGUUUCGUAUGAACUGAUUCACAAAUCUGUAUGUAUUGGGAGAGGCUAUUUUGUACUCUGAAAGACAACAUCCAUACAGUCUUUUAAAAACAUAAAUUUAUUUUCAUCUUGCUGUGUAGUUUUCCAUGUUGUUUGACAGUUCAUACUCCAUUAAAAGCAAGCACUAAACUGCACUUGUCGCCCAAUGGUUUGGAAUUUAUUUUGCUGUUCUAUUUGUCGCCGUGACAUGUAGUUCUACUGAAUGUAAAACCCACCAUAAUUGUUAACUUGGGUUACAUUAUAAAUUCCUUCUACUCCCCUUCACAGUGUACGUCCAAGCAAAUAAAGUAUAACUGUAAAGUGUAUGAUAGUAUAGUGUCACUCUUUCAAAUUCAGUUCACUUUUUGAUAUAGGAUCAGAACAACAACCACAGUCUAAGUAAACUACAACUGUUGACAACUGUGCGUAAGCAACUGUGAGAUCUUAAAGAGAAAGAGAGAAGGGGUGAAGGGAGGGAACAGCAGGAAUAGGAAAGAAGGGAUUAUAUCCCUUUACCCUUGUGGCCGGGUCUACUUGAAUGUGUUGUUUGCUUGGACUACUUCUACUUGUUUUUGUGUAUUGUUCUGUGCUUUUCCUUUCUGAUUUCACAGCCCUCCGAGCUGGCCCAGAGAUUGCAUUGAAGCAUGCAUUGUGAGUUGCAAUUGGGAAGCUUAAAGCUCAAAGCCUGUUUGUUUCUCAGUUCACGAAUAAAAUAUUCUUUUGAUUGAGAAAAA